rnacentral:ncRNA from 1 species
UAGUAGGCGAAGAUGAAGAGUAGUACAUCAAGUUUUGUAUAUUCAGAGAAUCUGUGGUUGGUGAGAACAGAUGAUACACUUGGUCGAAUGGACUUCGGAGCCAGCUUUGUGAACAGACAAAAAGUAACUUAGCUCGCAUUACCUCACGUUACGAGGUAGAGUGGUCAUAUUUUUAUGACAAGCUUGGGUGGUACCGCGGAUUCAAAACAUCAUUCGUCCCUAUU